UUCUGCUGCUCACAAAAGGGAAAGGCAAAAAAUUCUCCGAAAAAUGAAAACUAAAAUAAUUUGAGUCCCUUCACUAGCUCUUGUAAAUGACAAAGCAUCAUCAUAGAUUGCUAUUCAUGGUGAUAUGUUCAACCACAGGCCAAGGAAGUGCUGAAUGAUGAGUCAUCCCUAUAUAAGAAGGCAGGUAGGUAUAUAAGAGAUCUUAUGAAUAUUCUAUGCACGCUAUUAUAAUUAAAAAAAAGGAUUUUGUGUGUAAAGGAAUGCUUCCCAAAGUGUAUUUCGCGAAUCAUUAAUUCCCUGGCAGGCUAACGGGUGCUCUGUGAAAAAACGUUCCUUGGUCCAAAAGAUCUAGGGAACAUUGCAUUAGAAAAAAAAUCUGAACAGGUU
rnacentral:lncRNA from 1 species